rnacentral:rRNA from 1 species
UUCGCUGACGAGUGGCGGACGGGUGAGUAAUGUCUGGGAAACUGCCUGAUGGAGGGGGAUAACUACUGGAAACGGUAGCUAAUACCGCAUAACGUCGCAAGACCAAAGAGGGGGACCUUCGGGCCUCUUGCCAUCGGAUGUGCCCAGAUGGGAUUAGCUUGUUGGUGGGGUAACGGCUCACCAAGGCGACGAUCCCUAGCUGGUCUGAGAGGAUGACCAGCCACACUGGAACUGAGACACGGUCCAGACUCCUACGGGAGGCAGCAGUGGGGAAUAUUGCACAAUGGGCGCAAGCCUGAUGCAGCCAUGCCGCGUGUAUGAAGAAGGCCUUCGGGUUGUAAAGUACUUUCAGCGGGGAGGAAGGGAGUAAAGUUAAUACCUUUGCUCAUUGACGUUACCCGCAGAAGAAGCACCGGCUAACUCCGUGCCAGCAGCCGCGGUAAUACGGAGGGUGCAAGCGUUAAUCGGAAUUACUGGGCGUAAAGCGCACGCAGGCGGUUUGUUAAGUCAGAUGUGAAAUCCCCGGGCUCAACCUGGGAACUGCAUCUGAUACUGGCAAGCUUGAGUCUCGUAGAGGGGGGUAGAAUUCCAGGUGUAGCGGUGAAAUGCGUAGAGAUCUGGAGGAAUACCGGUGGCGAAGGCGGCCCCCUGGACGAAGACUGACGCUCAGGUGCGAAAGCGUGGGGAGCAAACAGGAUUAGAUACCCUGGUAGUCCACGCCGUAAACGAUGUCGACUUGGAGGUUGUGCCCUUGAGGCGUGGCUUCCGGAGCUAACGCGUUAAGUCGACCGCCUGGGGAGUACGGCCGCAAGGUUAAAACUCAAAUGAAUUGACGGGGGCCCGCACAAGCGGUGGAGCAUGUGGUUUAAUUCGAUGCAACGCGAAGAACCUUACCUGGUCUUGACAUCCACGGAAGUUUUCAGAGAUGAGAAUGUGCCUUCGGGAACCGUGAGACAGGUGCUGCAUGGCUGUCGUCAGCUCGUGUUGUGAAAUGUUGGGUUAAGUCCCGCAACGAGCGCAACCCUUAUCCUUUGUUGCCAGCGGUCCGGCCGGGAACUCAAAGGAGACUGCCAGUGAUAAACUGGAGGAAGGUGGGGAUGACGUCAAGUCAUCAUGGCCCUUACGACCAGGGCUACACACGUGCUACAAUGGCGCAUACAAAGAGAAGCGACCUCGCGAGAGCAAGCGGACCUCAUAAAGUGCGUCGUAGUCCGGAUUGGAGUCUGCAACUCGACUCCAUGAAGUCGGAAUCGCUAGUAAUCGUGGAUCAGAAUGCCACGGUGAAUACGUUCCCGGGCCUUGUACACACCGCCCGUCACACCAUGGGAGUGGGUUGCAAAAGAAGUAGGUAGCUUAACCUUCGGGAGGGCGCUUACCACUUUGUGAUUCAUGACUGGGGUGAAGUCGUAACAAGGUAACCGUAGGGGAACCUGCGGUUGGAUCACCUCCUUA